rnacentral:sRNA from 1 species
AAACCUCCUGCAAAAGUGGAAGCGAAGCCGAAAAAGGCAGCAGCGAAGAAAGUUCUGUUUUUGUGAUCCUUUUAAAAAUAAAGCUUCACGGAAGGAUAAAUCUUCAGACAAAAAAGUGCAAACAAAAGGGAAAAGGGGAGCAAAGGGAAAACAGGCCGAAGUGGCUAACCAAGAAACUAAAGAAGAUUUACCUGCGGAAAACGGGGAAACGAAGACUGAGGAGAGUCCAGCCUCUGAUGAAGCAGGAGAGAAAGAAGCCAAGUCUGAUUAAUAACCAUAUACCAUGUCUUAUCAGUGGUCCCUGUCUCCCUUCUUGUACAAUCCAGAGGAAUAUUUUUAUCAACUAUUUUGUAAAUGCAAGUUUUUUAGUAGCUCUAGAAACAUUUUUAAGAAGGAGGGAAUCCC